GGACGCUUAGCUCAGUUGGUAGAGCAGCUGACUCUUAAUCAGCGGGUCGUGGGUUCGAGCCCCUCAGCGUCUACCA
rnacentral:tRNA from 1 species